rnacentral:rRNA from 1 species
GUGGGGAAUAUUGGACAAUGGGCGAAAGCCUGAUCCAGCCAUGCCGCGUGUGUGAAGAAGGCCUUUUGGUUGUAAAGCACUUUAAGUAGGGAGGAAAAGCUAAUGGUUAAUACCCAUUAGCCCUGACGUUACCUACAGAAUAAGCACCGGCUAACUCUGUGCCAGCAGCCGCGGUAAUACAGAGGGUGCAAGCGUUAAUCGGAAUUACUGGGCGUAAAGCGCGCGUAGGUGGUUGCUUAAGUCAGAUGUGAAAGCCCCGGGCUUAACCUGGGAACUGCAUCUGAUACUGGGUAACUAGAGUAGGUGAGAGGGGAGUAGAAUUCCAGGUGUAGCGGUGAAAUGCGUAGAGAUCUGGAGGAAUACCGAUGGCGAAGGCAGCUCCCUGGCAUCAUACUGACACUGAGGUGCGAAAGCGUGGGUAGCAAACAGGAUUAGAAACCCUAGUAGUCC